rnacentral:rRNA from 1 species
CAAUAGCGUAUAUUAAAGUUGUUGCAGUUAAAAAGCUCGUAGUUGGAUUUCUGGUGGGAGCGAUCGGUCUGGCGCUUAGCGCGAGUACUUGCAUCGUCUCCGGCCAUCCUUGGGGAGAGUCUGUCUGGCAUUAGGUUGUCGGGCAGAGGAUCCUCAUCGUUUACUGUGAAAAAAUUAGAGUGUUCAAAGCAGGCUUAUGCCGUUGAAUAUAUUAGCAUGGAAUAAUAAGAUAGGACUUUGGUACUAUUUUGUUGGUUUGCGCACCAAAGUAAUGAUUAAUAGGGACAGUUGGGGGUAUUCGUAUUCCGUUGUCAGAGGUGAAAUUCUUGGAUUUACGGAAGACGAACUACUGCGAAAGCAUUUACCAAGGAUGCUUNCAUUAA